AUGGAUGAUUACAUCCAGAGGCUUCAAGGGUCGGGCUUGCUGGAUUCAAGGGGGAAUGCAAUCCGCGAGUCCAAUCUGCCCCAUGACAGUGCCGCUCCGGCAGCAGCAGCGCAUCCGGUAGAUGUCGAACUGAAGACGGAAUUGAAGAAGCUAAACAAGAACUUCAAGGAGCUUAUUGAGUUGAAGAAGCAAUCCAAUCUGAUAGUUUUAGGAAUACUUGCUCUAGGAAUUUUUUACUUGAUGGCCAUCUCUCGUUAG
rnacentral:rRNA from 1 species